GCUCGGGAGAGCCUCAGGCUUUAUCCUGGAAACCUGUGGAGGUGCAGAGGCGUGGGGGACCAGGCACCUAACCUCCUCAUCAGCAAGUGUCCUGUUUGAACAUGCACCUGCCCCGCUUGCUGCAGUUGAUCAAUCCAAGGAACUGUUCUGCAGUAGAAAGAAUGAACCUGACUCCCCAGAAAGAAGCAGUUUUAAGAGUCAAGAGGAAAGACUUGGCAGCAUUUGAGUUUCUGGAUUCAUCUGUCCUGUGGUGUGCUUCCUUAUCUGCCUUUCUUCUGGUGUGUUUGCUCAACCUUUUCCUAAAUUCUGUGAGUUAAUAAAUUCCUUUCUUGGACUCA